GGCCGGUCUUCCCGCAACGAUACGCUGUGAACCCCGCCAGGCCCGGAAGGGAGCAACGGUAGCAGCGGACUCGUGUGCCGGGCGCGGGCGGGUCCGG
rnacentral:SRP_RNA from 1 species